GCCCGGGUGGCGAAAUCGGUAGACGCAAGGGACUUAAAAUCCCUCGGGCUUGUCCCAUGCCGGUUCGAGUCCGGCCCCGGGCACCA
rnacentral:tRNA from 2 species